GCUGGGUGUGGUGGUACACAUCUGUAGUUCCAGCUAUUUGGGAGGCUGAGGCAGGAGGAUCACUUGAGGCCAGCCUGGGUAAGAGAGAGACACUGUCUCAA
rnacentral:sRNA from 1 species